CCUACGGGAGACUGCAGUGAGGAAUAUUGGUCAAUGGCCGAGAGGCUGAACCAGCCAAGUCGCGUGCGGGAAGACGGCCCUACGGGUUGUAAACCUCUUUUGUCGGGGAGCAAAGCGACCCACGUGUGGUUCAUUGAGCGUACCCGACGAAAACGCAUCGGCUAACUCCGUGCCAGCAGCCGCGGUAAUACGGAGGAUGCGAGCGUUAUCCGGAGUUAUUGGGUUUAAAGGGUGCGCAGGCGGAGGUGCAAGUCAGCGGUCAAAUUGCGGGGCUCAACCCCGUACUGCCGUUGAAACUGCAUCCCUUGAGUGAGCGAGAAGUAUGCGGAAUGCGUGGUGUAGCGGUGAAAUGCAUAGAUAUCACGCAGAACUCCGAUUGCGAAGGCAGCAUACCGGCGCGCAACUGACGCUCAUGCACGAAAGCGUGGGUAGCGAACAGGAUUAGAUACCCGAGUAGUC
rnacentral:rRNA from 1 species